UAGCUGAAAGUAGGCAUCUAGGAGAACAAGUUUUGCACACUUUUCUGAGAUACUCAUGUGAUCUCCAGGCCACUUUGCCAUAUCUGAAGACAUACCUGGCUUGAAAUCAGAGGAGAGUGCCCACUCUAGAGGUUAUGAGGAAGGGGCUGCGAGCUGAGUCAGAGUGGUGUGAAUAUAUCCCUGCCAUCAAGCACGUUGUGUGGGGAGGAAAAACCCCCUCUGUGUUUAUCUGCAUCACACUGAAUAUUUAUUAAUGGCUGAGCAACAAGGUUUUUCUCUCACUAAAAUUGCAUGUCACACUCUUUUGUUCUGUGCACUUCUUUUUUUAUGCAAUUGGAGGGACUGAACAUCCAUGGCAGAGUGCUUUCCCCUGAGCUUGGGACAGUUUUAUGAGAGAUGUACUGGUGAAAUAUCCCUGUCCUUAAAUGAGGCAGUGAGAUGCUGACAGCUUCACUCCUCUGCAGAUAAUGUAUCAGCUGCUCAGUGGGAAAGCUUGGAGCUUCAAGUCAAGUACUGUGAGG